rnacentral:rRNA from 1 species
CCUACGGGCGGCAGCAGUGGGGGAUAUUGCACAAUGGGGGGAACCCUGAUGCAGCGACGCCGCGGGGGUGAAGAAGCGCCUCGGCGCGUAAAGCCCUGUCAGCAGGGAAGAAAAUGACGGUAACUGAAGAAGAAGCCCCGGCUAACUACGUGCCAGCAGCCGCGGUAAUACGUAGGGGGCAAGCGUUAUCCGGAUUUACGGGGGGGAAAGGGGGCGCAGACGGCGAUGCAAGCCAGGAGUGAAAGCCCGGGGCCCAACCCUGGGACUGCUCUUGGAACUGCGUGGCUGGAGUGCAGGAGGGGCAGGCGGAAUUCCUGGUGUAGCGGGGAAAUGCGUAGAUAUCAGGAGGAACACCGGUGGCGAAGGCGGCCUGCUGGACUGCAACUGACGUUGAGGCCCGAAAGCGUGGGGAGCAAACAGGAUUAGAUACCCUUGUAGUC